UACACAUGCAAGUCGAACGGCAGCACGGGGGCAACCCUGGUGGCGAGUGGCGAACGGGUGAGUAAUACAUCGGAACGUGUCCUGUAGUGGGGGAUAGCCCGGCGAAAGCCGGAUUAAUACCGCAUACGCUCUACGGAGGAAAGGGGGGGAUCUUAGGACCUCCCGCUACAGGGGCGGCCGAUGGCAGAUUAGCUAGUUGGUGGGGUAAAGGCCUACCAAGGCGACGAUCUGUAGCUGGUCUGAGAGGACGACCAGCCACACUGGGACUGAGACACGGCCCAGACUCCUACGGGAGGCAGCAGUGGGGAAUUUUGGACAAUGGGGGCAACCCUGAUCCAGCAAUGCCGCGUGUGUGAAGAAGGCCUUCGGGUUGUAAAGCACUUUUGUCCGGAAAGAAAACGCCGUGGUUAAUACCCGUGGCGGAUGACGGUACCGGAAGAAUAAGCACCGGCUAACUACGUGCCAGCAGCCGCGGUAAUACGUAGGGUGCAAGCGUUAAUCGGAAUUACUGGGCGUAAAGCGUGCGCAGGCGGUCCGCUAAGACAGAUGUGAAAUCCCCGGGCUUAACCUGGGAACUGCAUUUGUGACUGGCGGGCUAG
rnacentral:rRNA from 1 species